rnacentral:lncRNA from 1 species
UAUGUCAGCUCAAAUUCGGCUUGAAAUUAAUUUCGAGCCUAAAUCUAGGCUCAAGCUCGGCUUGAAAUUAAUUCGAGCCGAGCUCGAGCGAGCCUAAUUUCGAGUCGAGGCCAGCUCAGAGCUCUAAACGAGCCGAUUGAAAUUCUCGAUAUUAUAUAAUCAAUAGUUUAAUUUUUAUAGAACAUUACCUAUAAUUUGAUGCAACAUGUUCAAUAGUUUAAAAUACAAAAUAAUUGUAAGAAAUGUGAGCUAGGGUGAUUGCCUGACUGGAUGAGGGUCAGAGAGAGAGAGAGGGAAAAAAGUUUGAGAUUUGGAAUUUGAAUGUUAUCAUGUUUUAGGUUAUGUGCAACAGUGAAAGUCUGAAAGAGAGAGUGUG